rnacentral:rRNA from 1 species
UAGAAUAAAAUUAAAAGUAAUCUCUGCCCUAUGAUUAUUUAAAUGGCUGCAGUAUUUUGACUGUACAAAGGUAGCAUAAUAAUUAGUCUUUUAAUUGAUGACUGGAAUGAAUGAGAAUAUGAGAUUUUUACUUUAUUUUUUUUAAAAUUAGAAAUUAAUUUUUAGGUAAAAAAGCUUAAAUUUAUUAUCGGGACGAUAAGACCCUAUAGAACUUUAAUAAUUUUAUUUAUUAUAAUUUUUAGUUAAUUUAAAUUAAUAUAAUUUUUUUAGUUGGGGUGAUUAAUAAAUUUUUAUUACUUUAUUUUUAAAAAUCAUUAAUUUAUGUUUAUUUUGAUCUUGAAUAUUUAAAUUAAAAGAUUAAGUUACCUUAGGGAUAACAGCGUAAUUUUAAUGGUGAGUUCACAUUUAUAUUAAAGUUUGCGACCUCGAUGUUGAAUUAAGAUAAAAUUAGGGGGUAG